UACAAAAAAAACAAGCGUUGUUCAAAAUUACUGGACGUAAAGAGCGCGUAGGCGGUUUGCUAAGUUGAAUGUGAAAACUCUGGGCUUAACCCAGAGCCUGCAUUCAAUACUGGCAGGCUGGAGUUCUGGAGGGGAUAGCGGAAUUCCUGGUGUAGCGGUGAAAUGCGUAGAUAUCAGGAGGAACACCGGUGGCGAAGGCGGCUAUCUGGACAGAAACUGACGCUGAGGCGCGAAAGCUAGGGGAGCAAACAGG
rnacentral:rRNA from 1 species